AUUGAACGCUGGCGGCAGGCCUAACACAUGCAAGUCGAACGAGUGGCGGACGGGUGAGUAAUGUCUGGGAAACUGCCUGAUGGCGGGGGAUAACUACUGGAAACGGUAGCUAAUACCGCAUACCAUCGGAUGUUCCCAGAUGGGAUUAGCUAGUAGGUGGGGUAACGGCUCACCUAGGCGACGAUCCCUAGCUGGGCUGAGAGGAUGACCAGCCACACUGGAACUGAGACACGGUCCAGACUCCUACGGGAGGCAGCAGUGGGGAAGAUUGCACAAUGGGCGAAAGCCUGAUGGAGCAAUGCCGCGUGUGUGAAGAAGGCCUUCGGGUGGUAAAGUACUUUCAGCGGGGAGGCGGUACCUGCAGAGGAAGCAACGGCUAACUCCGUGCCAGCAGCCGCGGUAAUAC
rnacentral:rRNA from 1 species